UAUAUAUAAAUGUAUAAAGAUGCAUAAAAAUUUUUGAAAUUUUUUGAUAUAGUUUAAAUCUAUAAUAUAUAA
rnacentral:tRNA from 1 species